GAUGAACGCUGGCGGCGUGCCUAAUACAUGCAAGUCGAGCGAACAGACGAUGAGCUUGCUCCUCUGACGUUAGCGGCGGACGGGUGAGUAACACGUGGAUAACCUACCUAUAAUACUGGGAUAACUUCGGGAAACCGGAUCUAAUACCGGAUAAUAUAUUGAACCGCAUGGGUCAAUAGUGAAAGACGGUUUUGCGGUCACGUAUAGAUGGAUCCGCGCCGCAUUAGCUAGUUGGUAAGGUAACGGCUUACCAAGGCAACGAUGCGUAGCCGACCUGAGAGAGUGAUAGGCCACACUGGAACUGAGACACGGUCCAGACUACUGCGGGAGGCAGCAGUAGGGAAUCUUACGCAAUGGGCGAAAGCAUGACGGAGUAACGCCACGUGAGUGAUGACGGUCUUCGGAUCGUAAAGCCCUGUUAUUAGGGAAGAACCAAUGUGUAAGUAACUAUGCACGUCUUGACGGUAAUUAAUAAGAAAGCAACGGCUAACUACGUG
rnacentral:rRNA from 1 species